UAGGGAAUUUUUCACAAUGAGCGAAAGCUUGAUGGAGCAAUGCCGCGUGAACGAUGAAGGUCUUUAAGAUUGUAAAGUUCUUUUAUUUGGGAAGAAUGACUUUAGCAGGUAAUGGCUAGAGUUUGACUGUACCAUUUUGAAUAAGUGACGACUAACUAUGUGCCAGCAGUCGCGGUAAUACAUAGGUCGCAAGCGUUAUCCGGAUUUAUUGGGCGUAAAGCAAGCGCAGGCGGAUUGAAAAGUCUGGUGUUAAAGGCAGCUGCCUAACAGUUGUAUGCAUUGGAAACUAUUAAUCUAGAGUGUGGUAGGGAGUUUUGGAAUUUCAUGUGGAGCGGUGAAAUGCGUAGAUAUAUGAAGGAACACCAGUGGCGAAGGCGAAAACUUAGGCCAUUACUGACGCUUAGGCUUGAAAGUGUGGGGAGCAAAUAGGAUUAGAUACCCUAGUAGUCCACACCGUAAACGAUAGAUACUAGCUGUCGGGGCGAUCCCCUCGGUAGUGAAGUUAACACAUUAAGUAUCUCGCCUGGGUAGUACAUUCGCAAGAAUG
rnacentral:rRNA from 1 species